rnacentral:tRNA from 1 species
GUUUUGGUGGCCAAGCAUCCAAGGCAUCGGUCUUGUAAACCGAAGAUCGGAGGUGAGAUACCUCCCCAAAGC